CUACUGCUGUGCACUAGCAGCAAAAACCUCAGCUGCCAAACUUACCAGCACAUUCUGUCAGAGGUCACACUCGUCAAUGAGACUCAAGGAAGAAACAUGGUGAACUUCUUCAUUCUGCCCUUCCUCAGAAGAAACACAACAGAUGCGGGCUGUGUGUCGACUGCUAACAACAGUGUUGAGUGGCUGCAGAAGAACUUUGGCCCGUUCUCUCAGUUUGUGCCUCUCACAGAUCUGCUCUCCAUCAACAGACUCUUUGAUCCU